GCGCCUGUAGCUCAAUUGGAUAGAGCAACGGACUUCUAAUCCGUUGGUUGGCUGUUCGAGUCAGCCCAGGCGCA
rnacentral:tRNA from 2 species